UAGCCCUAGGGCGGUAAAGGCUAGCUGCCUGGGAGCAAGAAUUAUGGGGCCCGAUCCUGUUUCACAACCAAAAGUCCCUCUGAAGUCAGGGGGAGUGACACAGAGAAUGCAAGAUCAGGGCAUUUGACAUGCUACCACACAACAUUAGUGGUGAAAUCUGGAGUCGGAGUUAUUUUGGAUCCCAGAGAACUGUAUGAAGUGUUCUUUCAGAAUUGGACACUGUUAUGGAGAAGCAGAGUGGAGAAGGUCUCAGAGAGAAUGCCAUUAGUGGUACUGGGACUCAUAUCUGGAUCCAUUCAUCUGGAGCAGGUAACGUAUAGCUUAUUAUACAUGUAGCUUUACUGUCAAGGAUCUCAACCAAGCAGUUUAGCAAUAGCUUUGGAAUAAUUUAAAUCUAAGGAGGUUUCCAGGGCAGUGAAGGAGUGGAUUAGAUCUGAAGAAAAGAAAAGAAAAGAAAAGAAAAGAAAAGAAAAGAAAAGAAAAGAAAAGAAAAGAAAAGAAGUACUUGUGGCACUUAGAGACUAACAAAUUUAUUUGAGCAUAAGCUUUCGUGAGCUACAGUCACUGCAGUCACUGGGGUUUGGUCAAAAAUGGUUAAAAACUAUUGAAGAGACUUUAUAUAUCAAAAACUAAUUUUUUUAAAUGUGUAAACCUGUGAAAGUGGGGCAGCAACAAAACAUGGGAACUGAGCUGUUUGGGAUUGGUAUGUUGCUCUGAAACCAAGCUGACAGAGACACUGUGGAAACAUGACCAAGCAUUUCAACAGACGCUAGCAGCAGAAGUACUGCAUCCAUUACAUGAGCACAUGUUUUAGCCAGAAUUAGCAUCUGAUUUGAAAAUUAAUGAAGCAAAGAAUUUAAUGAUAAAGAGUUUUUAACUAUUUUACAGUAUGAUGUUGUACAUUUUUUUAACUUUAUCAUAAAAGGUAAAAGAUGAAAACAAUGAUGUGCACAAUAUGGGAAAUAUAUUCUGCAUAAAGUAAAAGAGGCAUACAACAAAGAAGGUUGCCCUCUUUUAUCACCAUAGAAAGGUUAAAAAUGUGGUACAAGGGAGGUAAUAUUAAUUGGUACAGGGCAAGAAAAUUAACAAGGGUCCAAUACCAUAAGGUUAAAUGUGGAAAGCAUUACCACUCAUAUAAUGUGGAAGAAGGUUCCCCCCGCCCCCCAUCCUCAAAUACUGAUGCAAAACAGUGCAAAGUCUGGACUUGUACCACUGUUUGCACCUGAGGGAUACUUACAUGUGCAGGUUCAAUGUCUUACAAACAAAAUUGCUGGCAUGUGGGUUCACUCUGGGGAAACAAUCUCCAAAGUGCACAGUAUGGUUGAGACCCUGGGAUACUGUUAAAACAAAACAAAAACAAAACAAAAAAACUGCCUGUGCUGGUGAUGACAAGUAUUGUGUGGUGUCUGAAGAGGAUCACUUUUGGUAUGAACCCAGGUUGUGUUAUAUUAAUUGGCCUAUGUUCUGUUUCACACUUUAAUUUCCUGUGGUGAUAAAUGGAAAGAUUUUUCUAUUUUCCACCAGUUUUUCAUAAUGUAAUUAAAGUAAAAGCAAAGUUAAAAUUACAGAAGGAUGCUUUAAAGGCAAAGCAAUCUUAUAAUGUGGGAUUACACCCUGGUGGGCUGUACCAGGGGAGGUUAGCUUGCACCCAUUUCAUUCUUUAAUCCUAAUAUUGAUGGUAGUUCAAAUAAUUACAACUACUGUGGUUUUAGGCAUGUGUUGCUGGGUAAUAAAUUUGAAAAAAGGUAGCACAGAAAGAUAGGCAUAUGAUAUAAUUAAUUAACACUUGGAGGGAGGCCUCAUUUUCUAGAGGACAGAAGUAAACAGAUCAUUAGGCUGAAAACAGAAUUUUUGUUCUAAAUAAGAUAAGUAAAUAGGUCAAUAGGCUAUGAAGACAAUGUCUGACUCAGCUAAGAUAAGAGGGAGAAUGUCCAGGGGACCUUUUACUAUUAACAAGAUCAUGAUUGGCAAGAAUGGAAUGUACAUAUGAGGUAAAGAGUAGGUUGAGUGUAUGGAUGGACAGAACAUGCUGCACAGGGAUUGGUUCCUGCGAAGUAACCAAUCCAAUCCAAAAAUGUGUGAUGUAAUGUAAUGUGUACGUGUAUAUAAAGGAAGAGGUUUUCUGUGUAACUUUGGAUGUGUGUUAUACAUUAUAUCCACCUCCAAUGCCCAAGUCUG